CUACGGGGGGCUCCAGUGAGGAAUAUUGCACAAUGGGGGGAACCCUGAUGCAGCAACGCCGCGUGGAGGAUGACGCAUUUCGGUGUGUAAACUCCUUUUAUAUGUCAAGAAAAUGACGGUAGCAUAUGAAUAAGCGCCGGCUAACUCCGUGCCAGCAGCCGCGGUAAUACGGAGGGCGCAAGCGUUACUCGGAAUCACUGGCGUAAAGGACGCGUAGGCGGGUUGAAAAGUCAGGUGUGAAAGCCUACAGCUUAACUGUAGAACUGCACUUGAAACUCUCAACCUAGAGUAUGGGAGGGGCAGAUGGAAUUAGUGGUGUAGGGGUAAAAUCCGUAGAUAUCACUAGGAAUACCUAAAGCGAAGGCGAUCUGCUGGAACAUUACUGACGCUAAGGCGUGAAAGCGUGGGGAGCAAACAGGAUUAGAUACCCGCGUAGUC
rnacentral:rRNA from 1 species